GAGUCGCAGCUUGCAAGUGUUUUCGGCUUUACAGGUUGGACCUACAAAAAUGAGCUGAAAGAGAAAGAACACAGUGCCUAAAGUUAGUCACUGUUAUGGGCUUAAAUAAUAUGGACAUACAAAUACAGACAAACAGAUAGGAAUACAGAUUGAAUAUAUAUUUAGGUGUUGUUGAUUGUGUACUUACUCUAAUAUUUUUUUGUGUUGCACCACAAAAUAAAGUUAUCUUGAUUUCAUGCAUAGUUUUAUGACAUUCUCAAUAUAGAUGUGUAAAUGAAGUUGUUUGCUGUCACUCAGGCAUUACAGUUAGAUAGUUCUCAAUACAUGUUAUUUUAUGAAUAUUAUCAUUAUUUGUAUUAUUAUAGUGUAUGGUAAUAAAUUGAGAUUAAUGAAUUUUCAGUAAAUAUUGACAUCAGAUGAAUGGCAGCUAGAAGAAAUGCAGGCACACAGACAUCUGGGGUAAAUAUACUGUAUAAUGUUUAUGGUGUGAUGAGGGUUUUCUCUGAGCAGAUCGAACAAUCGAAUCUUGGAAAUAUGUUGUUGAUGCUCAAUUCUCUGGGUAUUGAUGAUCGUGCUCAUUUGCCUUUUGAAUUCUCCACCAGCAGAAACACUCGUCAUGGCUUCAGAACACUUUUCUGCUCUUGGAGCUCUUAGCAUCAAGGAGAACUAACAAGUUAGUUCAUCGUAUGGCUGAGUUUCCUGUUGAUCCUAUGCUGUCUAAGAUGCUGUUAGCAUCAGAAAUAUAUUAGUGCUCAAAGGAGAUUUUGACUAUCACAGCUAUGUUGUCUGUCAAUAAUGCAAUAUUUUAUCAACCCAAUGCAAAUGACUUUUGUUAUAUUGCUAAUUUACAGAAUAUGGAAUUGUUAGCUGGUUUCUUAGUUUGUUUGUGACAUACUUGAAGUUGAGCUACAUCGUAGCAGAAGUCACUCAAUGUUAAUUACAUAUGUGUGUUUAGCAUAAGAUAGUACAUGCUAAUAAUGCAUGAAAUACUAUUUCAGUCUGGUGGUGACCAUCUAUCACUGCUGAAUGUGUAUAAUCAAGGGUUCGAAACUGAUUUCUCCACUCAAUGGUGUUUUGAGAAUUUCAUUCAGAAUCGCACAACGCGUUGUGCUCGGAAUGUUAGAGAUCAGCUUGAAGGGCUGAUGGAGAGCUAGGGUGGAGAUUAAGAUGACAUCAAAUCUAAGUUGUCUAGGGGUGGACAAUACUAAACAGUAAAACAUCAGCAGGUUAGCUUAUUAAUUAAUAUAUAACUGUAAUUAUACACAGCUUACAUUUACAACUUACUGCAAAGAUAUAUGGACGUCGACAAUUGCUUCAGUUUUCAGUUUACUACAACUUAGUUGAAAUUGCAUAAUUGCUCUGGGAAGUCUUGGUUGUCCCGUCUAGAUUCAUUUUAGUCUAUAAGUGAUUUUUCUGAUUGUUAAGCCAUUGUGAUUUGGCGUAUUCUCACUUCUCAUUUAUAAGUACUAAAGAGGCAGUCGCUGCAGCAUUUAUCGUGUUUUCUUUCAUGUUAUUAUUAAAUGGUCAGAUAGUCAUAUUGUUUGCAAUAAUACAUUGAUUAGACAUACCAAGUGCUUCUAGCAUUUGAAUGUUGUUGGAAACUUUAUGGACAACAGGCUUGCAUAGAAGCAUUUGUCUCUGAUUUCUUUUCAGCUAGUGAUUGAAACAAUGGGUUGUAUUGACUGGAAGGAGUUUUCAUAAUAACAUGAUCAGUUGUUUCUCUUUCUGUGUAGACUGUUCACAUCCAUCUCAACAAUUGUCUAUUUGAGGAUCAGUCAAGAUGUUUAAUGUACCAAGGAUUAAUUAGCCUUCACAACAAAGGAAUAUAUACGAGGUAGGUGAUUGAAAUAGAAAAUCAGUGGCUGCUAGAAGUUGCACUGCAUUAUUACAAAGAAAGAGAACUGCAAGACAUGGCCACAAAGAAGUUACCUAAAACUGUAAUUGUUACCAAAGAACAAGCUUGUGCUGUCUAAGAAUCUAAAUUCUUUUUGUAGUGUUGAGUUUGGAACAAUAUACAAAUGUCCUCAAAA